CGCGGGGUAGAGCAGCUUGGUAGCUCGUCGGGCUCAUAACCCGAAGGUCGUCGGUUCAAAUCCGGCCCCCGCAACCA
rnacentral:tRNA from 1 species